CAGAUGUAGUUCAGUGGUAGAACAUUAGCCUUCCAAGCUAAUUAUGCGGGUUCGAUUCCCGUCAUCUG
rnacentral:tRNA from 1 species